AUCGACGAUUCAAAAAAUAUUGCAAGAGUGUUGCAGCAUAUGCUCACAGAUGGCGCCUUCAUGCAUAUUACCGCGAAAAGAAGUCACAGCUCGCCUAGCGCUGUCAGAUUUCUCUUUCAGAAUCGCGUCUAGUUUCCCGCAAAAUUAUCCAAGAAUUAAAUCACCCACCACCAGAUGUUGCUUUCUCAGCAGCAGCAGCUCCGCCUCUUCUCCGCCACAAUCCACCUCCUCCCCCCCUUCCCAUUCUCGCAUUCCCUCAAUUCCCCCCUGAAAUCCACCAAACAAUGCACUCGCUGCUCCGCCCCCAAAAUAUCGAUUGCGCAGCUAUCCGAAGCCACCACCGCCAGCUCGCCGCCGGAGGAAGGCCCCGUCGAGAUCCCACCCUCAAUUUCCCCACUAUUCGCCACCGACGACGACCCCACACCUCUCCAAACUGCCACCAGCGUUCUCCUCACCGGCGCCAUCACGAUUUUCCUCUUCCGCUCCCUCCGCCGUCGCGCCAAGUGUGCGAAAGAGACGAAAUUUAGAUCAUCUGGUGAAAAGAAAUCGCUCAAGGAGGAGGCGUUGGAUAGCUUGAAAUCCGUUACUCUUUCGCCAGCUGAUAGCAAGUCUCCGCCUUCGCCAGUUCAGGCGUUUUUGGGCGCAGUAGCAGCUGGCGUGCUCGCACUCAUUCUGUACAAAUUCACGACCACGAUCGAAGCUGCUCUCAACCGCCAAACAAUUCCAGAUAAUUAUUCAGUUAGACAGAUAACCAUAACCAUAAGGACGAUCAUCAAUGGUUUGUGCUACCUCGCUACGUUUGUUUUUGGUAUCAAUUCUCUCGGAUUGCUUCUUUACUCCGGCCAGCUUGCCUUCAACUCGUUAAUGGACGAAUCCGAGAAUGAGGACGAAGCGCCACCAAGACCAGAUGAUGACUCUGGAUUAACGAGUGCCACCGAGGAUCAAAGCUCCGAUGAAACACAGUAAUAGAUACGGCGAUUGGACGGCCAUAUUCGUAGAAUUCGAGAACUCUGUGUCGUGAUUCGGUAGUGGACAGAACAAGAAAAACACGAGAAAAUCGAGUGUCCAUCGAUCUUCCUCCUCAGGCUCAGUGAUCGUCGAUCUUCGUGUAAGGGUCGCAACUCAGUGGCCGAGCAUACUGAGGCAGUGGGGUUGUGUUCCUAUCCAAGAACUGCAGAAGCGUCACUGUGAUCACUGAGCUGAGAAACAUCGGAAUCGGGCCAAAAAUCCACAGCAUCAAAUUGGUGGCUAAAUAGAGCGAUCGGAGCCCGACCACCCAGAAAUUACAUCCCGUUAUGACUGCAUUCUCGACAUUGCCCGCGAGCAUUACGCAGUUGGGCAAGCUGAUGAGGAAACCGGCGUGAAGGAAGCUCGUUGAUGCGUGGACGAAACAAACAAAGGCAAUCACGAAGCUGGUGAGAAUUGCCAGGUAUUUGGUGUAAAUAAUGGUUGGACUCAUGUUUCCAUAGACUCUCGCUGCUACGGGUUCGUUGUUGUACGAGUUUCCAAUCCACGCCACGAGCAACGAGCAGAGAACAAGGGCGAUGGAUGCUAGAGACAUCGCUGCAAAUAAGUAGUUCCCUGUCACUGUAAGUGCUUGAUUUCUAUCCUUUACUUCAACCUGCAAAUUUAUUCAUCUAAGCUUAGUUAUUGUGCAAAAGUCACAUAAUUGGAAUUUAUAUUCGGAAUUCCAAAUAGUUGCAAAACA